UACGAAGGGGGCUAGCGUUGCUCGGAAUCACUGGGCGUAAAGCGCACGUAGGCGGCUUUUUAAGUCAGGGGUGAAAUCCUGGAGCUCAACUCCAGAACUGCCUUUGAUACUGAGAGCUUGAGUCCGGGAGAGGUGAGUGGAACUGCGAGUGUAGAGGUGAAAUUCGUAGAUAUUCGCAAGAACACCAGUGGCGAAGGCGGCUCACUGGCCCGGAACUGACGCUGAGACGCGAAAGCGUGGGGAGCAAACAGG
rnacentral:rRNA from 1 species